GAGCCAUUAGCCCUAAGGGAUACGGAUGAAGUAGAUCCAACCAUCCCACUGCUUGAUGAAGAAGCACAGAACUUUGAAUUCAAGGCUGCCUUUAUCUAGAUCCCUGACUGACCUGCACUGAGGAGAAAGCAGUUCCAGCUUUGGAAACUGGGGCACUGGGGGAGCCAGGCUGGACCUGGGGUCUCUCUUCCUUAACGUGGCAGAAGUGAUAGAACAAAAUUACCACCUUGACAAAACGGAGGAAGCAGUCCUCUGUACAGAGGCUCAACGGGUGAUCCUCCCAGCGCAGGGAAAUGUUAAUGAAGCCAAGUCGAAAACUGAUGAUGUGCUGCCCUCAGUGUGUAACACACCAUGUUAAGAGCGAAUACAAGCAUUUCUCCUUAGGUUCAGGGACAGAGAAUUUGAGCAGUGUCCUGGUAACAGCCUGCAUGGAAGCAGAGGUCAGUUCCUGAGAAGCUCUGCCUGCGUACCUCCUCAGUUUGGGGGAAGGAGGAGCCCCGACCUGGUCAAAAUCAGCCUUCCUUCCCCAGAGCGCCUGUGACCUGAGACCAGGCAAGAACCACGACUGACCACAGGGGAGCUCUUUCAGGAUGAAUAUCAGGCAGCUGACACGUUCUGAUUCUCGCUCUUGCCAUGCACUUCAUCGAGAAGCACACUCUCUUCCGGCGUGAUAAUUCUGUGGUUAACUAGCAUCACUGCACGAGCAAAUGAACAAGACUUUGAUGUGAAUAGCCCUUCCAUGCAUGUGCAAACCACAGCGUGCAAUUUCCCUGCAAGGGGAGGAAUCCCAGCUAUUCCUACCCUGAACUGGACACUUAGGGGUGGGAGCCUCGGUGAAGGUCGCCACUACCUUCCUGUGUACACCCCUGGCCCCCACCACCAUCCUCUUAGAACAACAGCGUAGAUAUUGCAGAAUCCAGUCACUUUCGUUACACUGUGCUCCUGUUCCCUUGGGAAGCCAGCCCCACACUCCUGUAGACUCUCUCUCAUCCCCUAGAUGAGCCUUUUCGUCUACCCCUUGGACAUUCUGACCUCGUACACACCUCGAAGUGUACCGGUAACUCUGCUCUAAUAUGUCAAGUUCUGAAAACAUUUCCACUCUUCUGGCCAAGGAGGCUCAGCCAGUUGUGGGGUGAAAUUUGGGAAGCCUGGAUUGGGAAGUGAAGAUCACCUUGUUCUGUGGAAAGUGAAAGAGGAAUUGAAGCGAGGAAGCUAACGCUCUUCCUUUGGUUCCAGCGCAUCAACCUUCACCUCUCCCCGCAGCACCGCGAUCACCAGCCAUCAAGGCCACCUUGCCCGGUGCCUUUUUUUUUAAAUAUGGCUUUAAAUGCUUCAUCGUGGUUAGAAGACAACAUGCAGGAGAAGGGAUGGAAAAGAGGCAAGGUGGAAUUUCAACUCAGUGGUCAAGGAAGGCCUUCCUGAGAUGACAUGUGAUCAGAUGUCAGAACCAAGUGGGGGAGCAAACCAGAGGGAAGAGCCAGUGCAAUGGCCCUGAAGUGGGAGCCUGCCUAGGCCCCUCUGGGAACAGUUGGAAUGCCUGUGAGGCAGAAAGAAUGCAAGUAAGGGACGAGUGUGGGAGCUGAGGUUGGAGAGCUCAGCAGGGCCAGGCUACGUUACCAUGGGGACUUGCAGUUGCUUCUCAGUGCAGUGGGAAGGCCUCAGAAGACUUGACGCAGGGAAUGCCGUGUUCUGAGUUUGUACCAUCAAGCAGCAAGGGGCAGGGCGACUUGUCACAGCCCCCACCUGUCCACACAGCUGAUCUGGAGAGAAGCAUUAACAAAAUGAUGGGGAAGACACAAAAUAGAAGAACAGAGAAAGAAGAAAGAGGAAGUAGAAUUCAGGAGGAGAAAAAAUCAUGACAUUGGUUUAUUGAAAACUGAACAGAAGGCAAAAUUGCACCCAGCCACCUCCAGCCCAGCAGGCUUGUCAAAACCAACUCAGACACAGGGGGACUCUUACCUAUUUGUCUCUGGAUCUUCAGAAUGGAGUCAGGAGAGGUGGCAUUUGGAGGCAGCGGAGCUGUGCUGGUUACCUUCGUUUCCCCCUCUGCAUCUACAGAGGUGUUUUGCACAUAAAAGGAUUUCAACAGAGUGAAAUGAUCACUAACUUUUAAGUUAUAUCUACUCUUGCAAAGUGAAAUGUGGAGUUCAGAUGUCUGGGGGGAUAAAAAGGUGUUACAAAAAGACCCAAAUGGUCCACAUGAAUAAAAGAUGAUACAUUUGGGCCA
rnacentral:lncRNA from 1 species